AGUGAACGCUGGCGGUAGGCCUAACACAUGCAAGUCGAACGGCAGCACAGUAAGAGCUUGCUCUUACGGGUGGCGAGUGGCGGACGGGUGAGGAAUACAUCGGAAUCUACUUUUUCGUGGGGGUUAACGUAGGGAAACUUACGCUAAUACCGCAUACGACCUACGGGUGAAAGCAGGGGAUCUUCGGACCUUGCGCGAUUGAAUGAGCCGAUGUCGGAUUAGCUAGUUGGCGGGGUAAAGGCCCACCAAGGCGACGAUCCGUAGCUGGUCUGAGAGGAUGAUCAGCCACACUGGAACUGAGACACGGUCCAGACUCCUACGGGAGGCAGCAGUGGGGAAUAUUGGACAAUGGCGCAAGCCUGAUCCAGCCAUACCGCGUGGGUGAAGAAGGCCUUCGGGUUGUAAAGCCCUUUUGUUGGGAAAGAAAAGCAGCAGGUUAAUACCCCGCUGUUCUGACGGUACCCAAAGAAUAAGCACCGGCUAACUUCGUG
rnacentral:rRNA from 1 species